rnacentral:rRNA from 1 species
CCGCCGGCGACCGGCGCACGGGUGAGUAACACGUAUGCAACCUGGCCGUGACAGAUGGAUAACCUGGAGAAAUCCCGCCUAAUACAACAUAAUGCCGGGAGGGGACAUCCCCUGCCGGCCAAAGGGGCGACCCCGGUCACGGAUGGGCAUGCGGCGCAUUAGGUAGUUGGUGGGGCAACGGCCCACCAAGCCGACGAUGCGUAGGGGUUCUGAGAGGAAGGUCCCCCACAUUGGAACUGAGACACGGUCCAAACUCCUACGGAAGGCAGCAG